AGAGUUUGAUCCUGGCUCAGAGUGAACGCUGGCGGUAGGCCUAACACAUGCAAGUCGAACGGCAGCACAGUAAGAGCUUGCACUUACGGGUGGCGAGUGGCGGACGGGUGAGGAAUGCAUCGGAAUCUACUCUGUCGUGGGGGAUAACGUAGGGAAACUUACGCUAAUACCGCAUACGACCUACGGGUGAAAGCAGGGGAUCUUCGGACCUUGCGCGAUUGAAUGAGCCGAUGCCCGAUUAGCUAGUUGGCGGGGUAAGAGCCCACCAAGGCGACGAUCGGUAGCUGGUCUGAGAGGAUGAUCAGCCACACUGGAACUGAGACACGGUCCAGACUCCUACGGGAGGCAGCAGUGGGGAAUAUUGGACAAUGGGCGCAAGCCUGAUCCAGCCAUACCGCGUGGGUGAAGAAGGCCUUCGGGUUGUAAAGCCCUUUUGUUGGGAAAGAAAAGCAGUCGGUUAAUACCCGAUUGUUCUGACGGUACCCAAAGAAUAAGCACCGGCUAACUUCGUGCCAGCAGCCGCGGUAAUACGAAGGGUGCAAGCGUUACUCGGAAUUACUGGGCGUAAAGCGUGCGUAGGUGGUUGUUUAAGUCUGUCGUGAAAGCCCUGGGCUCAACCUGGGAAUUGCGAUGGAAACUGGGCGACUAGAGUGUGGCAGAGGGUAGUGGAAUUCCUGGUGUAGCAGUGAAAUGCGUAGAGAUCAGGAGGAACAUCCGUGGCGAAGGCGACUGCCUGGGCCAACACUGACACUGAGGCACGAAAGCGUGGGGAGCAAACAGGAUUAGAUACCCCGGUAGUCC
rnacentral:rRNA from 1 species